AAUGAACGCUGGCGGCAGGCCUAACACAUGCAAGUCGAGCGAGAGGCGGACGGGGGAGUAAUGUAUGGGGAAUGUCCGAUAGCGGGGGAUAACAACUGGAAACGGCAGCUAAUACCGCAUACUAUCGGAUUACCCAUACGGGAUUAGCGAGUAGGUGAGGUAAUGGCUCACCUAGGCGACGAUCCCUAGCUGGUCUGAGAGGAUGAUCAGCCACACUGGUACUGAGACACGGCCCAGACUCCUACGGAGGCAGCAGUGGGGAAUAUUGCACAAUGGGCGCAAGCCUGAUGCAGCCAUGCCGCGUGUAUGAAGAAGGCCCUAGGGUUGUAAAGUACUUUCAGUCGGGAGGCGUUACCGACAGAAGAAGCACCGGCUAACUCCGUGCCAGCCGCCGCGGUAAUAC
rnacentral:rRNA from 1 species